rnacentral:rRNA from 1 species
GGCGGACGGGUGAGUAACACGUGGGUAACCUACCUAUAAGACUGGAAUAACUCCGGGAAACCGGGGCUAAUGCCGGAUAACAUGUUGAACCGCAUGGUUCAACAGUGAAAGACGGUCUUGCUGUCACUUAUAGAUGGACCCGCGCCGUAUUAGCUAGUUGGUGGGGUAACGGCCUACCAAGGCGACGAUACGUAGCCGACCUGAGAGGGUGAUCGGCCACACUGGAACUGAGACACGGUCCAGACUCCUACGGGAGGCAGCAGUAGGGAAUCUUCCGCAAUGGGCGAAAGCCUGACGGAGCAACGCCGCGUGAGUGAUGAAGGUCUUCGGAUCGUAAAGCUCUGUUGUUAGGGAAGAACAAAUGUGUAAGUAACUGUGCACGUCUUGACGGUAC